GACGAACGCUGGCGGCGUGCUUAACACAUGCAAGUCGAACGGAGAACGAGGGAGCUUGCUCCCUCCGGAUCAGUGGCGAACGGGUGAGUAACACGUGAGCAAUCUGCCCCGAACUCUGGGAUAAGCGUUGGAAACGACGUCUAAUACCGGAUAAGAUGCGGGAGCGCAUCCUCUCUGCGUGGAAAGAACUUCGGUUCGGGAUAGGCUCGCGGCCUCUCAGCUUGUUGGUGGGGUAACGGCUCACCAAGGCGAAGACGGGUAGCCGGCCUGAGGGGGUGACCGGCCACACUGGGACUGAGACACGGCCCAGACUCCUACGGGAGGCAGCAGUGGGGAAUAUUGCACAAUGGGCGCAAGCCUGAUGCAGCAACGCCGCGUGAGGGACGACGGCCUUCGGGUUGUAAACCUCUUUUAGCAGGGAAGAAGCGAAAGUGACGGUACCUGCAGAAAAAGCACCGGCUAACUACGUG
rnacentral:rRNA from 1 species